CCCACUUAAUUCUAUUCUCUCUCCAAAUCUAGGUCUGCUUUGAUGUCAAUUACUACAGAACACAGUGGAUUCUUGUACCUUUACAGGUGUGGCUUGGAAAGAAGAUGAACAUGAAGGAGAAAAGAGAGAUUUGGUUUUUGUUUAACUUAAGUGUCUUUUUUUUGUUUAACUUAAAUAUCUUUUCACUUCACUCUAGUUUAUUGGAGAGAAGUCUUAUAGGUAUUGGAAGAGUUGAGGACCACCACGGAAUAAUAUCCCACCAUCUACAAAAGGAAAUGAGCUGCUCUUCCCCUUCAGCCUUUGCAGUUAAGGGCAGCGUCCUUGACAAGAUGCAUUUAUUGGAGAAGGUUUUACCCUUGCUUCCUCCCCUUUCAGGGAGGCUGAUGACACAUGUCCAAUGCUAAUAAAUAGUUAGUUCACAUCCUGCUUUCUGUUCCAGUCUUUUCUUCUAUCCUUUUGGUUGUUAAAAUGAAUCUAUCUUUGAGAUGCUUUUCAACCUUCAAAUGCACCAGAAUUUCCCACCUCCAAAAUCACUAAGAGAUUUUUCAGAUCUCAGAAUUCCUUUUACCAAUAAUGCUACUUUGGGCUGCAGGAAACAUCUAGUUUCCCCAUAGCACCACAAAAAAAUCUGAAGAUAUUAGAAGAGAGAGAAGGCUACAGGACAUUGGAAAAAGAGUGGUUGUGGUAGGCAAAAUAAUGUCUUUUCCCCCCAGAAUAUUGUCCUCUUUUCUAAUUCCUGAAACCUGUGGAUGUGUUACCUUAAGCUGCAAGGCUCUUUUUUCCAGAUGUUUCAUAACCAACUCCUUUGGAAAGAAAAAAGUAUCUAGCACAUCAGCAAUUUUCAAGCACAUUAGGAUUUGAACAGCUGAAUGACAGUAUCUCCUGGAGGAAAGAUUUUCUACUCGCAGAACCUGAGAUGAGAAUCAUCUGUCCUGGUUUUACAAAUUAGAAAGAAAAAAAACUCCAGUGCCUUUUCUGG